rnacentral:rRNA from 1 species
UACAGGGGGGGGCAAGCGUUUGUUCGGAAUUACUGGGCGUAAAGGGCUCGUAGGCGGCCGGCUAAGUCCGACGUGAAAUCCCCAGGCUUAACCUGGGAACUGCGUCGGAUACUGGCGGGCUUGAAUCCGGGAGAGGGAUGCGGAAUUCCAGGUGUAGCGGUGAAAUGCGUAGAUAUCUGGAGGAACACCGGUGGCGAAGGCGGCAUCCUGGACCGGCAUUGACGCUGAAUAGCGAAAGCCAGGGGAGCAAACGGG